UCUCAAUCUCUCUCACUCUUUCUCUCUCACUCUCUCACCCUCACGCAACACUCCCUCCCCACUCACCCACAUUAUUCUUCUCUUUCCCAUAAUCAACACUCCCUUCCCACUCUCCCACAUUAUUCUUCUCUUUCCCACACUUUAAGAUCACAUGCACCUAAAAGGCUAAUCUACUAGCCAACACAUCCCUACACACUUUAAGCUCACAAGCACAUGCACACCUCUCUCUCAUCUCCCUCCCUCUCUUCUUCUUCUUUAUUUCGCAGCCCCUCCCCUCUUCACUUCACCUCACUUUCUUUUUAUUCCACCAAAUAUAGUAAGAACUAAGGUUUCUUAAAGUGUUCAUCUUCAAGCUCAAGCUCCAAGCAUACUACGCAUCAUCCUCUACUCCACCUCCAUUGAUCUUGUUGGUUCGAGUGACGGCCGGCGUUAGUACGAUUCUGAGUAUUACGUCAUCGACCCCUGAGACAGGUCUGGCUUGGCGCGAGGAUGGGUGAAGGCUGUUGGAAUUGUCAGUUGGCUGUGUCUUUCCUAUGUCUCAUAUUUAUCUUUAUAAGCUUUGACUCUAUAAGAAUUUGAACUCCCUGCUAUAUGUCUUCACACAUAUAGUAACGCAUCUCGCUGCAUAACUCUGAUGAAACUCUUUAUUUAAUUUGCUUAUGCCUGUAAUAUCCCAUAAGGGGAAAUACUUCUCAAACCCUUGCUAAGUUUCAAUGGCUUAAUUAUGUUUACCCAAGCUAAUAAUUAUUUUGGUCUUGAAAUCCUUCUUUAAAAAGAGUAAAGUUUGCAAUUGCUUCCGCUAAAACAAGAUGUAUUCCUAUUUCUUUCACUAUUUCUUUUAUUAGUCGUACGAUACUUGGUAUACGCUAUCACUGGCUAUAUCGGGCUGCGACAGCAGGGCUGUGCCCAGCAACGCUCCAGAGCAGAGCUGCGCUGCGCUCCAAACAGGGCAGAGCUGCGAUCCAGAUCAGAGCUGUGCUCCCAGCAAGGCUGCGCUAGGCAGCGUGUCCGCGGCGGCGCAUGGAUUUCGAGGCAAACCCUAGCGGUUCCAAACCUUAGUUUAUCAAAGAUGGGCCUGACGGAGCUGCUUGGGCCGAGUUUUACGUUUUUGAGCUUUUCUUUUCUAUUUUAAAUGUAAUAGAUUAGAAUUGGGAUUCCACGAAUGGGUCAUGAAGAAUUUUAUUUAUUUUAUUAUGUUCUUUGCA